GUUUAACCGACAUCAUCAGGUUUUACCUGACAGGUAGGGAAGAGGGUGCAAACCCCUCGCAGCCCCCGCUGCUGUGAUGCUGACGACCCCGCAAUACCACUGAUCGACUGAUUGGGAAGGGCGGGCAAGAAAGACGCUAAGCCAGAAGACCGGCCUGAUGAUGCAAAUGACA
rnacentral:ncRNA from 2 species